CAUACUACACAGCUGUAUGAAUGAAUGGAACGGGAAGAGGCAAAUGUGAAAAAUACUACGCGUGGGUGAAGAAGAAGCACCCAAACAAAAAAAAUAUGAAUGAAAAUAAAAAGGUUCUGCUGGAGAUUGAAGGCCAUUUAUGGAGAUUUUGAAUAAGGGACAAUGUUGGCUGCCUUGGACCAGAAGAAUUUCAAUGGCCGAUUCUGAAGAUGGUGAAUCUGAGCAGAUUUAACCGGUACUGUUCCAGAUAAGCUGGUGGACUAUCGAUUAAGGUGGUUCCGGAAAUGGAAGCUAAUAAAAAUUCAAUUGGACCUGGGAUUUGGCCUUGGUUAGCUGCUUCCGUUCAGGAAAGGCUACAAAUUCAGAUGGGACCUGGACCGGAAAACUAAAUAUGAAAUAAUUUGGACCAAAUUAUGAUUCAAAAAGGUGUUGGUAACAAUUCGUAUUUCCUACAGAAAAACAGCGAGACUGAGGAAGAAGCAACACACUGAGGAAAAGAUCCCUGUCAGCGAGAAUAAAAUCGGGAUUCCGUUGCUGGUUCCUCAGCCUCAUUACAGCAUUGUAAAAACUCUCGAAAUUCUCCUGAGGCAUUUGGCGACGAUCCAUAAUUUGUUUUUGCAAUUGGAACUCACUACCAUACCUCCUGAAUUGUGUGAGAAAUGCUCCCACGAGCUCGUCCCAGGACUGUAUCGUACUCAGCUUACGUAAGGUCCAGUACCAAUCCAGCGCCUGACCUUCCAAAAGGGUAUGGAAACAUCUUAAGAGAUCAUUAAAAGCGCAAUUAUAAUCUUGCCUCAACACAUCUACUCGAAAAAUGAAGUCUUCGGCACUCAUUGAUCUCGAAGUACCAUCGAAUUUAAUCCCCCAUUUCGAUAAAUCCACUUUGCGUUGGAUGGUAAACUGGCCUUCGGUUGGCCAACUAGGCGCCUGCGAAGACUGAACUGGAUUGACAGUCGGUGUUCCAUGACUCGGUUACGUAUUGGCGGCAUUGCUUUGAGGAAAAUUACGUGGUGGCUGAAUGUUAUUACCGGGAAAAAGUGGUACGGCAGUUUGUGGACCAGGUGUUGACGGGAUCGCGCGAGAUACGGCUUUCGCAAUUUCUUGUUGCAUAUCUGUUCGCAACAACUGCAUUUGUCGCUGUAGUUCCUCCCGCAUAAAAGUAAUCAUAUCUCCUGUGGCUGGCAUAUUAUUUGCCGGUUGAGGAGCUACAGGUGGCAUAACCGAACGGUACUGCACCGUUCUAGCAGUGAUGUUGCUGUACUCAGGUGGCGUUAUAGUGUCGUUAGAUAGGACAUUAUUGACAGGUUGAGGAACUGGAGGCGGGUUACUACCACGAUAUUCCUCCUGUACAUGUCUGGCGGCGGCACUACUGUAGUCUGGCGAAGUUAUGGUACUGUUCGAAAUGGCCGAUUCAUUGAAGAAUCCUGAACGUUCCUGCGCCAUUGAGAUGAAUUGCUGAACUGCUGGAGUUACUGUUGGUGUUCUUGUAGCCGUAGUCGUGAUCGUGUUCGCGAUGGUAUACACCGGAAGUGUAGAAGAAACUGUAGUUCCUACGGUAGUUCUAUUUGUAUUUUCCAUAUUAGAUUUAGCCGAACGAGUUAAAACCAUUACUACUUGUCUAAUUAGAUAUAGAUAAAGAUCUAGUACGAGGAAUAACCAAAUGAAACAAAUCAAAAUGAUAAAACCACAAUGUUGAUUAUUUGUAUAGAACGCUAGUAAAAAAAAAAUAUAUUUAUCUAACAGAUAAAUAUCAAACAAGAUACUAAUAGAAAUCUCCUCCUCUUAAAA